rnacentral:rRNA from 1 species
CUCGUAGGCGGUUCGUCACGUCGUCUGUGAAAUCCUAGGGCUUAACCCUGGACGUGCAGGCGAUACGGGCUGACUUGAGUACUACAGGGGAGACUGGAAUUUCUGGUGUAGCGGUGGAAUGCACAGAUAUCAGGAAGAACACCGAUGGCGAAGGCAGGUCUCUGGGUAGUAACUGACGCUGAGGAGCGAAAGCAUGGGUAGCGAACA